rnacentral:lncRNA from 1 species
CUUCGCGUCGUUCGAUGCCAAAAUCAUUCCAACACUUCUUUAACUCAUUUUUGCCCUUCCAAACUUGCUGGAAUGCAAAAAUCAACUCACCAAUCCAUUUCUCUAGAUACCUUAACCAAUUUGAUUAAAGUUCGAUUAUCGUUUUCAAGUUUCGAUAUGUUACAACUAAUAUCAUCCUGACCCUACAAUUUUUCAUCCAAGGGUUAAAAACUUAAUAGCAAAAAGAGCGUUUUACUAUUAAUAGCAUUCCAGCCUAAUUCUAUAUAUAUAUA